rnacentral:rRNA from 1 species
UACGGAGGAUGCGAGCGUUAUCCGGAUUUAUUGGGUUUAAAGGGUGCGCAGGCGGUCUGUUAAGUCAGCGGUCAAAGCCCGGGGCUCAACCCCGGCCCGCCGUUGAAACUGGCAGUCUCGAGUUGGAGAGAAGUAUGCGGAAUGCGCGGUGUAGCGGUGAAGUGCAUAGAUAUCGCGCAGAACUCCGAUUGCGAAGGCAGCAUGCCGGCUCCACACUGACGCUGAGGCACGAAAGCGUGGGUAUCGAACAGG